CUAGGUUUGAAAACCACUGGGUUAGAUAAAGUCUGCAAGAUGAUCAGCUAAUUUUCUGUGACCAGUUGUUUCUCAUCAUCUGAAACCCUGCAUGGGACAGUGUUUUCAGAGGGUGGCAGGCCAUCACCGUCCCUCCGUGUAACCUUAGGAAAAGCCAGCGUACGUGAGAUGGGUCUCUGGUCCAAAACCACACCUGGCCUCGCAUCCUUCUAAUGAUAAUCCCCACAGAGUUCCAGGUGUUCAGCCCAGUGACUGAUUACGAGCCCUGCCGAGUUCAGAGGGACAAGAUGGAGGCUAUAUAUAAAUCCGACAAAGUUUCAAAAGUGCAAAGUGCAAAGGCUUGAGAACCAGGACCUCUGAUGUUUGAGAGCAAGAGAAAACGGAUGACCCAGCUCAAAGAGUGUGAGCCAAUCCAUCACCUUCGUCUGCCUUUUUGUUCUAUUUGGGCCUUCACUGGAUGGGAUGGUGCCCACCCCAUGGGUAGUUCUGAGGACAGCCUUGAUGCCGGCGCUGGGCAAAAAUAAAGGGCUCCCACUUCCACUCUCAGCUCCCAGAGGGAUGUCCUUGGCCGUAUCGCCAGGACAUCUGCCCAGGAAAGGAACAGGGGAGUAUAAGAAGAUAUCAGCUGCAAAGACCAUCCUUCAUUGUAAGAACGAUGCUGGAGGAGAGGACGUGGAGGGAUAGGGGGCUUGUUCUCUCCCCUGUUCCACUCCACCAAACUUCCCAGAGAAAAACAAUUUUUUUUUUCUUUUUUGAGACAAGGUCUUGCUCUGACACAGAGGCUGGAGUGCAGUGGUGCAAUCACGGGCUCACUGCACCCCUGAACUCCUGGGCUCAAAUGAUCCUCCUGCCCCAGCCUCCUGAGUAGCUGGAACUACAGGCAUGUGCCACCAUGCCCUGCUAAUUUAUUUUUAUUUUUGUAGAGAUGGAAUCUCCCUAUAUUGCCCAGGCUAGUGUUGAACUCCUGGGCUAAAGUGACCCUCUUGCCUCAGCCUCCCAAAAUGCUGGGAUUACAGAUGUGAGCCACUGACCCUGGCAGAAAAAGAUGUUUUAAUUGCCAGAAACAUAUGUGGAAAUACUGAAAGAACAAGAAAUUAGCUGCCUAAAUUUUGUUACCUUUUUUUUUUUUUUUUUUGAGAUGGAGUCUCGCUCUGUCGCCCAGGCUGGAGUGCAGUGGCACAAUCUCGGCUCACUGCAAGCUCCGCCUCCUGGGUUCACGCCAUUCUCCCGCUUCAGCCUCCCAAGUAGCUGGGACUGUGGGUGCCCGCCACCACUCCCGGCUAAUUUUGUUUUUGUAUUUUUAGUAGAGACAGGGUUUCACCAUGUUAGCCAGGAUGGUCUCAAUCUUCUGACCUCGUGAUCCGGCCGCCUCAGCCUUCCAAAGUGCUAGGAAUACAGGUGUAAGCCACCACACUUGGCCAGUAACGAUAAUAAUUCUUUUUUUUUUUGACACGGGAUCUCACUCUGUUGCCCAGGUUGGAAUGCAGUUGUGCGAUCUUGGCUCACUGCAACCUCUGCCUCCUAGGUUCAAGUGAUUCUCCUGCCUCAGCCUCCUAAGUAGCUGGGAGUACAGGCAUGCACCACCACACCUGGCUAAGUUUUGUACUUUUAGUAGAAACAGAGUUUUGCCAGGUUGCCAAGGCUGGCCUUGAACUCCUUGGCUCAGGGGUUCUGCCCACCUCAGCCUCCCAAAGUGCUGGGAUUACAGGCGUGAGCCACUGCAACUGGCCACCUUUUUAUAAUUCUUAUGACACUGUAAAUAAUCUCAAAAGUUCCCAAUUAGAUAGAAAAUAAAAGUAAAGAAAAAUGGGCCAGGUACAGUGACUCACAUCUGUAAUACCAGCGCUUUGGGAGGGCGAGGCAGGAGGUUUGCUUGAGGCCAGGAGUUCAAGACAAGUCUGGGCAACAUAGUGAGACCCCAUCUCUACAAAAAAUUUAAAAAUUAGCUGGACAUGGUGAUGCACACCUGUAAUUCUAGCUACCUGGGACUGAAGCAGGAGGAUUGCUUGAGUCUAGGAGUUUGAGGUUGCAGUGAGCUAUGACUGUGCCACUGUACUCUAGGCUGGGUGACAGAAUGAGACCUUAUCUCAAAAAAAAAAUUAUAAGAGAAAAAUGAAGAACAUUUUUUAUGUAAUUGACUAUAGUACAGAAUAGAAUUGGAAUUUAAAGUUGCUAUUGUAGUUAUUUUAUUUUAUUAUUUUGGAGACUGGGUCUUACUAUGUUUCCCAAGCUGGUCAGAAACUCCUGGUCUUAAGUAAUCCUCCCACCUCAGCCUCCCAAAGCCCUGGGAUUACACCAGGUGAACCCUCCUGCCCGGCUCUGUAAUUUUAUAUUACUUAUUCUUAAUAUAUUUUCUUUAAAAAAUAUUUGAAAAUAAUUGUUAUUUAAAUUACCUAACCUUGUAUAUUAAUUAGUUCCUGAUAUUUCUUAAAUAAAGGAUUCCUG
rnacentral:lncRNA from 10 species